AUUGAACGCUGGCGGCAGGCUUAACACAUGCAAGUCGAGCGAGCGGCGGACGGGUGAGUAAUGUCUGGGAAACUGCCUGAUGGAGGGGGAUAACUACUGGAAACGGUAGCUAAUACCGCAUACCAUCAGAUGUGCCCAGAUGGGAUUAGCUAGUAGGAGGGGUAAUGGCUCACCUAGGCGACGAUCCCUAGCUGGUCUGGGAGGAUGACCAGCCACAAUGGAACUGGAACACGAACCAGACACCGACGGGAGGCAGCAGGGGGGAAUAUUGCACAAUGGGCGCAAGCCUGGUGCAGCCAUGCCGCGUGUGUGAAGAAGGCCUUCAGGUUGUGAAGCACUUUCAACGAGGAGGCGUUACUCGCAGAAGAAGCAACGGCUAACUCCGUGCCAGCAGCCGCGGUAAUUC
rnacentral:rRNA from 1 species